rnacentral:lncRNA from 1 species
GUCUCUGCACCUCCUGCCCACUGAGCGAGGGGCCCAAGCUGCCCUGGUCCCUGAGCUGGCUCUGCUUGGGCAGCACGAGGGCAUCCAUCAGCUUGUGCUGGUUUUAAACAGCUGAUAUGGAUGCAGACUCACUCCUGGUUUCAGGCAGAAGGAAAUCCUUUCUGAUAAGCUGCUGCUUUUUCAAACAGACGAUAAAGCUCUGCAGGUAGAACUCCCUGUGCUAGCAGUUUGACCCCUAAUGAAGUAUUUACCAGGAUGGCACCUUGCUCUGCCUCAGGAAAUACUGUCCUUUCACCUGUGUGCAGCUCUCAGGUCUUUUGCAAAGCCCACGGUUUAAGGAGAGCAUCAAAGCAGCCAGCAAUCCUCUCCUUCCCCUUCUCAAUCUCUCUCCAUUCCCACUGCGGAUGCGGUUUGCCAGAGACCCUGGGGCUCUGCACCUUGGAGAGCAAAGGGCUUGUAGGAGAGCUGCACAUCAUUGUGUUUGGGAUGCUGUGUCCUCCCUGCUGCAAUCAGAGCAGCGACAUGGAACCAGGAGGGUGGUGAGCCUGGUGGAAAUGCCACUCCUGCUGCCUCGGGACCGGACAUCUUCCUCUGCCACGCUGCCCCGACCUUUGUGGUGAGGUUGUGCAUGGAGAAAUGUGCUGAACCACCCCGUUGCCAUGGAAACCAAGGCCGAGAGGGGACCAGCCUGCUCCUGCUAAUUGCUGUGGCUUUGUGACCCCAUCCGUCCAUCCUGCUGCCUCCCGUGAGCCUGUCCGAAUGCACAGCGCUGGCCCCAUCCUGCAUCAUCCUGCCCUUUGGCUCCCAGCCCCAAUGCUGUGAGCAGGAUCUGGGGUUCCUCUUUCUCUCCUUUGUGUUGUCACAACCUGCACAAGAUCAGUUAAAAUCCGUGGCUUGAGCAUCCCUGCAGCCCAUCACCCCGUGCGUGCACAUCUGCCUGCAUGCUUGUUGCAGGAGCACGGUGGCGGUGCAGUGAUGCACCUCCCUUGCCCUGCAUCCCGGGCUGCCCUGCCUUUAUCUCGUCCAAUUAAAUAACUGCAGAUAGUGGGCUUAAUAAGGCCCUGCUAUGAAAGAUUACUGACGAUUUCUUUCCCAACGUGCGGUGAAUUAGGAGGCAGUGAGCAGGGAAAGGACUGCUGCUAAUUACAGUCCCCCAUGUCCCCUCUGCUGCCACCACUGCUGCUGGGCCCCUCGCUGCUCCCUGCACCUGAUUGCAUUUUGCUGCUGGUUGUGGCCAAUUUGCAGCUCUCAGCUGCUGCUGCUUCUCCCUUCCCCCCACGCCCCCUGCUCCUCUUCGAGUUUAUUAAUGAAAACCUUAUCUGUCGGUGCAGAUAAUGCCAGAAAUAAUUAGUGCACACGGAGGGCUGGCAGGCUGCUCUCUGCUCCCACCACCCACACCCUCUCCUCUCACUGUUUACAGUUUCCUGUGCUGCUU